rnacentral:rRNA from 1 species
CCUACGGGAGGCAGCAGUGAGGAAUAUUGGUCAAUGGGCGGGAGCCUGAACCAGCCAAGCCGCGUGAGGGAAGACGGUCCUAUGGAUUGUAAAUUUCUUUAGGCGGGGAGCAAUGCCGUGCACGCGUGCCCGGAGGGAGAGUACCCGCAGAAUAAGCAUCGGCGAACUCCGUGCCAGCAGCCGCGGUAAGACGGAGGAUGCGAGCGUUAUCCGGUUUUAUUGGGUUGAAAGGGUGCGUAGGCGGAUUGUUUAGUCAGCGGUAAAAUGUCCGGGCUCAAGCCGGGCCGGCCGUUGAGACUGGGGAUCUUGAGUGGGCGAGAAGUAUGCGGAAUGCGUGGUGUAGCGGUGAAAGGCAUAGAUAUCACGAAGAACUCCGAUUGCGAAGGCAGCAUACCGGCGCGCGACUGACGCUGAGGCACGAAAGCGUGGGGAUCGAACAGGAUUAGAUACCCGGGUAGUC